rnacentral:rRNA from 1 species
AGUGAACGCUGGCGGUAGGCCUAACACAUGCAAGUCGAACGGCAGCACAGUAAGAGCUUGCUCUUACGGGUGGCGAGUGGCGGACGGGUGAGGAAUACAUCGGAAUCUACUUUUUCGUGGGGGAUAACGUAGGGAAACUUACGCUAAUACCGCAUACGACCUACGGGUGAAAGCAGGGGAUCUUCGGACCUUGCGCGAUUGAAUGAGCCGAUGUCGGAUUAGCUAGUUGGCGGGGUAAAGGCCCACCAAGGCGACGAUCCGUAGCUGGUCUGAGAGGAUGAUCAGCCAAACUGGAACUGAGACACGGUCCAGACUCCUACGGGAGGCAGCAGUGGGGAAUAUUGGACAAUGGGCGCAAGCCUGAUCCAGCCAUACCGCGUGGGUGAAGAAGGCCUUCGGGUUGUAAAGCCCUUUUGCUGGGAAAGAAAAGCAGCAGGUUAAUACCCCGCUGUUCUGACGGUACCCAAAGAAUAAGCACCGGCUAACUUCGUG